rnacentral:rRNA from 1 species
GUGGGGAAUCUUGCGCAAUGGGCGAAAGCCUGACGCAGCAACGCCGCGUGAGCGAUGAAGGCCUUCGGGUUGUAAAGCUCUGUCAGAUGGGACGAAACAUCGCCUGGAACAAUACCCAGGUGAUUUGACGGUACUAUCAGAGGAAGCACCGGCUAACUCCGUGCCAGCAGCCGCGGUAAUACGGAGGGUGCUAGCGUUGUUCGGAAUUACUGGGCGUAAAGCGCGUGUAGGCGGACUGAGAAGUCGAGUGUGAAAUCCCUUGGCUUAACUGAGGAAGUGCGCUCGAAACCAUCAGUCUAGAGGUUCGGAGGGGAGCAGGGAAUUCCCAGUGUAGGAGUGAAAUCCGUAGAUAUUGGGAGGAACACCGGUGGCGAAGGCGCUGCUCUGGACGAAUACUGACGCUAGAACGCGAAAGCGUGGGUAGCAAACAGGAUUAGAAACCCGGGUAGUCC